AUAAAGUGUAACCCAAUUCUUUGUCACUUCUUAAUUAUAUGUAAAUAACAAAGAUACAACAUUGUCUUGGUAAAACUAACAUAAUUCAUCAGAAAUAGUAGAUCAGAGUCUGUUACCCGGCAGAUUGCCCUAAAUUUCAAACUGGAAUAUUAAAAUGUCAAAAUUAGUAUGUUUAUCUGUGUUGAGGGAAAGGCUGGGAGUGAACUAUCGAUCUGUGUUCAGCAAAAUCAAAGGAUUAACUGUACAAAAGAUACAUACACACUCAUGAUUUCACCUGAGCUCAGCAGAGGCCCAUGGCAGGACAGUGCAGAGGCACAGCUGACGGGGCUCUUUGCUUGUUCCUGAUGCUCUUUCCCGAAGGGGGCCCGUACAUGGAGUCAUUCAGUGGCUGGCGCCAUAAAUGAGGGCCACGCCAGUGGCCCAGCACUGCUUAUUCUAGAAGGACACAAGGACUUUGGAGCACAGCCAAAAUGCCUGGAACAAAAGGUAACAAGUCGGACAAGAAAUCAACCACCAAGCAACCUCAGAAUCCCAAGGAGCAGCCGAAGAAAGGUGAUCAGAAAGGAGAUGAUGCCAAAAAGCAAGGAGGACAGCCGAAGGGAGAGGAGCAAUAAUUUCCAGGCCUUCGUGAAGCUGGCUCUGGAGACUCUCCUGGGCUCUUGUCGACGCAAGCAUGGGGGCCCCCAGGGUCGGCCGGGCUGAGGUUUGCUCCUCCCACCACCCAGCCAAUCACCAGCAGCCAUCUGACCAUCGCUAGACAGAGCCUGGCCUAAGCCACCGUAGUCUGUCCCUUCUGUACCUCCUCACAUGGGUCUCACGUUUGAAUAACACUGGUGAUUUGCUCAUUGGAAGUUGGGCCAAUAUAAAGACUCCAGAGAGUCUGUGGCCCCACCCUCAUCCGUUAAUCUGACUCCACCCAUGUCAUAGAGCUCAACAGUGUUUUACAUAAAUGAACUGAUUUACAAAUAAACAUUAUUUCAUACACUUGCCA
ensembl:lncRNA